rnacentral:rRNA from 1 species
GAUGAACGCUGGCGGCGUGCCUAACACAUGCAAGUCGAGCGGAGAAUGGGUGCUUGCAACAAUUCUUAGCGGCGGACGGGUGAGUAACACGUGGGUAACUGGCCGGUAACAAAGGGUAAACACUGAGAAAUGAUUGCUAAUACCGUAAAAGCUUACACGAGAGCAUGAGAGAGUAAGAAAAGAUGUAGCACUUUAGGAGGGGCGCGCGUCUGAUGAACUAGUUGGAGUGGUAACGGACCAACAAGGCGAGCAACAGAAGCCGACCUGAGAGGGGCAUCGGCCACAUGUGGACUGAGAGACGGCCCAGGCGACUACGGGAGGCAGCCGUGAGGAAUAUUGCACAAAGGCGGAAUCUCUGAUGAAGCAACGCGGCUUGAAGGAAGAAUGUUUUUGGAACGUAAACUACUAUCUACAGAGAUUAAAAAAAUGACGGUACCUGAGGAAGAAGCCCCGGCUAACUACGUG